rnacentral:rRNA from 1 species
UACGAAGGGGGCGAGCGUUGUUCGGAAUUACUGGGCGUAAAGGCGCGUAGGCGGCCGAUCAAGUCAGAUGUGAAAGUCCUGGGCUUAACCUGGGGACUGCAUUUGAUACUGAUUGGCUUGAAUGCAGGAGAGGAUAGCGGAAUUCCCAGUGUAGAGGUGAAAUUCGUAGAUAUUGGGAAGAACACCGGUGGCGAAGGCGGCUAUCUGGACUGUGAUUGACGCUGGAGGCGACGAAAGCGUUGGGGAGCAACAGG